rnacentral:misc_RNA from 1 species
UACGUAGGGUGCGAGCGGUAGCCGGGAUUAUUGGGCGUAAAGCGCUCGCAGGCGGUCUUUUAAGUCUGAUGUGAAAGCCCCCGGCUCAACCGGGGAGGGUCAUUGGAAACUGGGAGACUUGAGUGCAGAAGAGGAGAGUGGAAUUCCACGUGUAGCGGUGAAAUGCGUAGAGAUGUGGAGGAACACCAGUGGCGAAGGCGACUCUCUGGUCUGUAACUGACGCUGAGGGGCGAAAGCGUGGGGAGCGAACAGG